AGAACUCCAAAAGCCCUGCAUCUGAUUCUCCAACAUAACCAAGAAGCAUCCAUCUAACAUUUGGGCUGUACUGUCCAAUAUAAUUGAGACCCACAUCAGUCAAACCACCUGAACGGAGGUACAGAGCGAAUCUUCUAAGCUUUUGGCAACCCCUCAGUAGAGCUCGAACUCCAUUGUCCAAUGGCAAAUCUGUUAUCCUUUCUUCCCGUUCGAGCAAGACGAGGCGAAAAUCACAUAGCUUUUUUGAGUGAGCACCAAUACAUUCUAGAGCAGCAUUUGUGAUAUCGGACACAUAAAUGGCCACAUAUUCUAUCUCCAGGCAUCCCCGAGCCAAAGCCAUUAAUCCUCUCUGUGAAACUACACCUUCUUCAUCCUCCAUUUCCUGCUCAUCAGCACCUCUCUCAAUCCUAAGCCUCCUUAAUUUUUUACAACUCUGAGCAAGAACUUCUAAUCCUCUGUCUCCAAUCACGUUCCUGGCCUGUUAAUAAGAAUAUCAAAAUUUUAAAAAGCAAAUCUCUUAGUUUUGUUCCCAGUGCAAAGAUGAGCAUUUUAUACACAAGCUAUGCAGUGUACUACUGUAUGUCUAAAUAAUCCCUGCAUUUUCUAAAUUUUUUCUUCAAGUCUAAAUUUGCCAAGAUGAAACUUUGUUUAUUCAAAAUAAGCUAUCAUACCCUUGGACUACACUUUGAAUGGUAUAAAACACCAAUUAGGCAAAGGUAGAGUUGAAAGAAAUUAAGAGAAAUGAUAUUGUAUUCUAUCAAGACAUUUUAUGAACAAAGUGAAACCUAAUACACACAAAUUUAGCCCCUUGAGGUGAAAAGGGGAAAAAGAAAAAGAAAAAGAAAAAAACCACAACAUAAUAAAAAAGCAAGAAAUGGUAUUGAGAUUCUACCUCAAGAAAUUCCAAGUUGGGGCACUUUUGAAUUAACAGACAAUGGUCCUCUGUGUCAAGCAAGCAAUAGAGUAGAUCCAACUUUUUAAGUAGGGAUGCAAAAGGGAAUACUAUGGGCAUUUCAUUCUUCCCCAUGUAGUUUAGACCCAGACGGCAUAAUUUUGGGGGGAACGAUACCGCGGAGUAUUUAUCUGAUUGUUCACUAAAAGAACCCCCAGCAAACUCUUCUAGUGCAGUUGCAGCACGGAAGAAACCAACUAGGUCCAAGAUUUCAAAAUCACUAAUUUUCAUAGAGGUUAAAGAUCGACAAUUUCUAGCAAUGAGUUCUAGGUCUUCAAAUUGGACUGUUGCAAGCUCCGUCAUGUAAAAAUUCAAAGUUUCAAGAACUGUAUUGUUCAUUGCCAGCUCAUGGAGCCAUUCCCCAUCUUUAUCCACAAUUUGGCUCUCUUCCAAAAACAAGGUUCUUAAAUUCCUGAGAAAGAAUAAACAGGAUUAAAAAUACAGAUAGUAAGAAGCAUAAUAAAAAAGAAAGAAAGCAUGCUUAGAAUAAGUGAACUGAAAAAAAAAAAAAAAAAAACAACUGUCCAUCACAGAAAAGGAAAAAGAAAAAGUAACACAUAUUUGUCCGACAUUAAGAUGUUUGCAUGGGGUGAUAAUGAUAUUCACAAUGAAUCCAUGUAGUAAGAAGAUAUUCAAUGUUAAGUUACCAACUAAUGUAGCAUGGUUUGAUCAUGUGCUACCCUAUAUAUGGAACUGAGGAACACAUUAACAAUGACCUAAAUGAACAGAGUCACAGACCAACAUACAUUAACCUAACCUAGAUUGCAUGGUGGCUGGGGACAAAAUCACAUGAGUCAAAAUCAGUACAUACAACUCGAUUCAACAAAUCUAAUUGUAAUCAAUUAAUGUACAUGAGUCCUCAAUAGCCCCUCCAAUCUAUCUAGGGAUCUUUUCUGUUAAAUUUUAGGUUAGCAUGUUUCCUUCACAACAAGAAGGAACAUCUUUUUUGUCCUUUCCCUUGCCACAAAAUUAUAGAAACAAAAUAUUAGCAGUGUCUCACAUACUAUUUCAUGAAUACAAGAGAAGAUUUUGAAGGGUAUAAUGUUUUCAGAAGUACUUUGAAUUCUGCUUAGAUUGUUAGUUUUGCCUCACAAUCUUGUCUAGAGCAACAAAUUCAUGACCUGCUGCAGCCUCUAGACAAGAUGAUCACCCAAUAACUAAUGACAAAGACAGUGCUGUUAAAAAGUUGUUGCCAUGUUUGGCCUAUGGUUUGAUAAUAAUUUUCCAGCAGCCUAAAACAUCUCCCUGCAGUUCCAACUUAUAACUAGCCCUUUUGUUAUCAUGUGAUAUGAUCAUGCUAACCAUCAAAUGCAGCAUGAAAUAUCCUAUGUUCCUAUCGUGGUGAGAACAGCCCAAUAACUGCCACUGGGGGGUGCAUGAGUCUAAAAUGAUUAUGAACUCUUCAAUCUCUUCUUUUACUGUUCAAACAUAAAUUACAGCUCUAUUUUGCUGAAAUUUUAAUCUCUUCUACACAGUAUCAUCUCCCUAUGACACUGUUGUAUGCUUUUUAUAACAGCCAUGUAAGUUCUUCACUUCUGUAUCUUUAAAUCAGUCAUGUUAUAAAAAAAUCUAAGAAAAAAUACAUAAAUCUUUACAUCAUCCAGUAAAGAAAACAGUUUUCAUGACUAAUCUCUACUUAGUGGAGCUUCAAACAUAUUCCUUAUUCUUACAAAGAGGCAUCAGUUUUUUCCUGCCAAUAUUCCACCAAUUUCUUCAUCUUGAAAAUGCCAGUUAAUAUCUUAGUCAACUAAAAUGAUUCACAAUCUCCUCAUUGCAAUCUAAAAUCCCUUAAGCUUCAUCUUAAAUCAAUGAUUCAUUAGUUCCAUAUACCAUUUUUUUUAUAGGUAUUCUUUAGCUCCAUUUACCUCAAUUCUAAAAAGAAACAAGAAACAAAAAAUAGAAUAAUAAUCCCCCAUACACAGCCAAACCCCAAUUAAUAUGCCGUUUAAUCAUAAAGCUGUUGAGUUUCUUCCUUAUCAGAUAUGCUAUAGUUUCAAAUAACUCUAUUCUAAAAGGAUACAAGAAAAAGAAAAAGAAAACAAAAAUGAUCACUAAUUGCAAAUGUUCCAGAGCACUUUCAAUCAUAUACCCCCUAUGCAGUUUUCUUUUAGACAAAUGUCAUCUUCUGCAGGGUUUUAAUACAUUAUUUGCUAUAUCCAGAGAUUUCAGAAAAAUAAUGAUGGUCAUUAGCAUCACCCCAUAGUUUCUUUACAAAAACAUGGAUGUGAAAUCAGUGUCUGAUAUUCUUAAGAAAUACUUGAUACAAUCAUCUUACAAUCUCACAACAACCCAUACAACAAAGAAGCACCCAGAUAGGAGUUUAUGAAGUUAGUAAAAAGAUCUUCAAUUGUUAACUAAAACAAAAAUUAAAAACAGAGCUUAGACCAAUUUCUUGCAUGUGAAUAAAGGGAGUGGUUCAAUGACAAUUCCAAGCAUUCCACAGAAAACAUCUGCUCCAUGGAAAGGGAACAUGAUUUUAUCCAUGAUGUCUAAAAACAUACAACAGGAUUAGUGACGUAGAAUUGCAGAUAUCAAAACAUUAUCAGGUUGUAUUAUUCUCCUCACUAAGAGAGUUCAGACCUUAAAGAGGGCAUAAUUUUCUUUCAUAUUCAAAUUAACUACAUUCUUCUCUGUGCACUUCUUUAAAAUCCAUAAAACAGUGUGCCACAAUAAGAAAAACCCACAACGAACCAACAUAUAAAAACCAAAGGCAGACGUGACAAAAACUGAAUUCAAUAUUUCUAAAGAAUCCAACAUUUCUAACCUAACAUUCAAUCAAACAAUAUAAUUUGAUCAACAAAGAAUAAUCGAAUCCAAUAUGAAGCCAAAACUACCUGCAAGACCGACCCACAUGUAGAAGCCCAUCUGUGGAAAACCCAGAGCACUUAUCGAGUUUAAGCACCAGGAGCACACGUCCCCGAGCUUGAGCAAGAAGUUGUAAAUCGGAAUCCUUCACAAUCAUGCGCCGAAAGUGAAGCGACUUCAAACAAUCAAAAUA
rnacentral:lncRNA from 1 species